rnacentral:rRNA from 1 species
AGAGUUUGAUCAUGGCUCAGAUUGAACGCUGGCGGCAGGCCUAACACAUGCAAGUCGAACGGCAGCGGGGGGUAGCUUGCUACCCCGCCGGCGAGUGGCGGACGGGUGAGUAAUGCCUGGGGAGCUGCCCAAUCGAGGGGGAUACCAGUUGGAAACGACUGCUAAUACCGCAUACGCCCUGAGGGGGAAAGGUGGGGAUCUUCGGACCUACCGCGAUUGGAUGCACCCAGGUGGGAUUAGCUAGUUGGUGAGGUAACGGCUCACCAAGGCGACGAUCUCUAGCUGGUCUGAGAGGAUGACCAGCCACACUGGAACUGAGACACGGUCCAGACUCCUACGGGACGCAGCAG